rnacentral:rRNA from 1 species
UACGUAGGGUGCAAGCGUUGUCCGGAAUUAUUGGGCGUAAAGAGCUCGUAGGUGGCCUGUCGCGUCGGCUGUGAAAACUCGGGGCUCAACUCCCGAGCUUGCAGUCGAUACGGGCAGGCUAGAGUUCGGCAGGGGGAGACUGGAAUUCCUGGUGUAGCGGUGAAAUGCGCAGAUAUCAGGAGGAACACCGGUGGCGAAGGCGGGUCUCUGGGCCGAUAUUGACGCUGAGGAGCGAAAGCGUGGGGAGCAAACAGG